rnacentral:rRNA from 1 species
UACAGAGGUCUCAAGCGUUGUUCGGAUUCAUUGGGCGUAAAGGGUGCGUAGGCGGCGCGGUAAGUCGGGUGUGAAAUCUCGGAGCUUAACUCCGAAACUGCAUUCGAUACUGCCGUGCUUUGAGGACUGGAGAGGAGAUGGAAUUUACGGUGUAGCGGUGAAAUGCGUAGAUAUCGUAAGGAAGACCAGUGGCGAAGGCGGGUCUCUGGGCCGUAACUGGACGCUGAGGAGCGAAAGCAUGGGGAGCGAACAGG